rnacentral:rRNA from 1 species
GACGAACGCUGGCGGCGUGCUUAACACAUGCAAGUCGAACGGUGAUGCUCCAGCUUGCUGGAGUGGAUCAGUGGCGAACGGGUGAGUAACACGUGAGCAACCUGCCCCAGACUCUGGAAUAAGCGCUGGAAACGGCGUCUAAUACUGGAUACGAAACUGGCCCGCAUGGGCAUGGUUUGGAAAGUUUUUCGGUUUGGGAUGGGCUCGCGGCCUAUCAGCUUGUUGGUGAGGUAAUGGCUCACCAAGGCGACGACGGGUAGCCGGCCUGAGAGGGCGACCGGCCACACUGGGACUGGGACACGGCCCAGACGCCUUCGGGAGGCAGCGGUGGGGAAUAUUGCACAAUGUGCGAAGGCCGGAUGCAGCGACGCCGCGUUGGGGAGGACGGCCUUCGGGUUGUAAACCUCUUUCAGCAGGGAAGAAGCGAAAGGGACGGUACCUGCAGAAGAAGCACCGGCUAACUACGU